GUCCACGCCGUAAACGAUGUCGACUAGCCGUUGGGAGCCUUGAGCUCUUAGUGGCGCAGCUAACGCAUUAAGUCGACCGCCUGGGGAGUACGGCCGCAAGGUUAAAACUCAAAUGAAUUGACGGGGGCCCCGCACAAGCGGUGGAGCAUGUGGUUUAAUUCGAAGCAACGCGAAGAACCUUACCAGGCCUUGACAUCCUAUGAACUUUCCAGAGAUGGAUUGGUGCCUUCGGGAGCAUAGAGACAGGUGCUGCAUGGCUGUCGU
rnacentral:rRNA from 1 species